GACCGCGACCCCAGGUCAGGCGGGAUU
rnacentral:rRNA from 1 species